rnacentral:rRNA from 1 species
GAUGAAUGCUGGCGGCGCGCCUAACACAUGCAAGUCGAGCGGUAACAGGGGUAAUUUAUUACCUGCUGACGAGCGGCGGACGGCUGAGUAACGCGUGGGAACAUACCCCAAAGUGAGGAAUAACUGCCCGAAAGGGUGGCUAAUGCCGCAUAUGAUCUUCGGAUUAAAGGAUUUAUCCGCUUUGGGAAUGGCCUGCGUAUGAUUAGAUAGUUGGUGAGGUAAUGGCUCACCAAGUCGACGAUCCGUAGCUGGUCUGAGAGGAUGAUCAGCCAGACUGGAACUGAGACACGGUCCAGACUCCUACGGGAGGCAGCAGUGAGGAAUCUUCCACAAUGGGGGCAACCCUGAUGGAGCAACGCCGCGUGAAGGAUGAAGGCCCUCGGGUUGUAAACUUCUUUUAUGAGUGAAGAAUAUGACGGUAACUCAUGAAUAAGCACCGGCUAACUACGUGCCAGCCGCCGCAGUA